rnacentral:lncRNA from 1 species
UUUUGCCAGUGGAGACCUUUUUGUUCCACCAAAUCUCACAAUUAGCAUGGAUUUCCCCUGUCCAGUUGGCCUACAGAGAAAUAGACCCGUGAAGUAGUGCUUCUCCCCAUCCUUGUCAACAAUUUCUCUAUUGUUUUGAAGAGAACAUGGUGCUUCAAACCUUAAGAAGCUUUUGGCUGAUGGAUCACUUGUCUUGCCCCACCAACCUGCGAAUCCUCUAUCGCUGCGCUCGGUGACCUCAAAGCGCAGCGGCUGAGCAUCUUCCCUUUUUGCACUCCAGUCUGUCCUGUCAUGUGAGAUUGGAACAUGGGCAGGAUCCAUGAGAUUCUCCAAAAGUAUAGAGUGGUCAUACGGGAGCUCAUGGGUUGUAGAAGUAUCUUGAAACCCUGGCCGAGCAAAGUUCUCAAACCAAGGUAUCUUUGAAGGGUUUGGUGGUGUAUUCUGAGACAUCCAAACCCACACAACCCCUUGUGAGUCCCUCACCUCAUAUGUCUUCAAACAAGCUGAUUUAGGAAUUUUGGCAUCAGCUGGAAGCUGUGAUAUUACAGACACAAUUAAAGAGACAUUCAACAUCAUUAACAAUCUUAAUUAAUCAAAAGACAGACAGACAGACCGACAGACCUGAGGGAUCUUUACACAUUUUCCUUGGGCUUCAAAUUGCCAUCCAUGAUAUAAACAUUCUAGUCUUCCAUCAAUCAACUGGCCUUCGGAUAGUUUCGCCAACCUAGCUAAGAUUGGAUUGUCAUGUCAUGACCCAAGUUUUAUUUUCAUUAGUUAUAUAGUAUUGACAAAGCAAGAAGAUGAAGAUACAAAGUUCAAUAUGACAAAGAUUUCAUCCAAAACGAAAAUUCUAAUUCUAAAGCAACUAUAAAUCUUUCCAUGCUAUAUAGAAGAAUCUACAGGCAAAGAUAAGUUUACCUGUGGGGGCAGCGAUCUUGGUAGCACUGGAGCUCUCCACUGCCGUCCUUGUACAGCACAAGUUGCUUAUCAAACACAGUCAAGCCCAAAGGUGCGUCGUCCGGAAUGUCCUGGGUGAGGUACAGAGGGUACCAUUCCUCUGUCCAAUCAUAGUCCACCACGACCCGCUCUCCUCUCCUGUCAGCCUCGCUGGUGGGACCCACCAAGACCUUGUGAUCCUCCUCCUCCUCCUGAUGUUCAUCAAGUGGGGGAGCAGGAGGUUUGAUGUCUGCAACUGCACUACACUUGAUGGUGCUUAGCUGCUUUCUUGUUGGAAUUAAGGGUCUCAGAGGGUGGGGUGGGGAGGAGAGAGAUAAGAGCAGUUUGAGUGGCUGUGGUUGUCUGGGAGUUUUGGGGAGGUGGUGGAGAGACGUGGAAUGAGAAAGAAAGGGAUGAAACAAAGCCAUGUUUGAUUGUAUUGGAGAGGAAACAAAGGAAGAGGGAGAUGAUGACAUGACUGGCUGGCAGGGAGAGCUAAGGAGGAGGAGGAAAUAAUAAAGCCAUCAUCACGGUGAAUAAUAUGUGAUGAUACACAGAGAGAGAGAGAGAGAGAGAGAGAGAGAGAGAGAGAGAGAGAGUAGUGUGACAGUGAAAUUGGGUUGGGGGUUGCUUUGCUUAGUAGCUUGUUGCACUCCUGGUAGCCACACAAUCUUUUCUUUGGUCAAUCAACAAGAAAUAGUGGUAGCUACUCUACUAUGACUGUUUAGUUACACACAUAGACCUGUAUCUGUGUGUACCAUUUUUGGUACUCAAAACAUUGUUUAUUUCAUCCUUGGGUUGGGGAAGCUAUGGCAUUUUAUGGGGUUCCGUUAUAUUAUAUGCAUUGUUAUGUGAGGCACAGCGCAAUAUAUACAUAUAUAAUUGGUUUGGUGGGGUUUUGUUUUGUGAAACAUCCAAACCCAUACAAACAUCCCAGGAGUAAGGACUGUUCUUGUGUGAGGUUGAUGAGGACUCUUCUCUUCUCCACCAUCUCCUUGGACUGUAAUGACCCUUAUCAUUAAGGACAGGUCUUUGCAUUGCAGGGUGGUGGUGUGGCUUACAAACUUGUUGAUGCUCUUGGCCCUCACUAUAGAAUUCUCCCCGGGACUUCAUAACUUGGGCUUCCAUGUAAUGUUAUGAAUCUACCCCAGACCCAGUUCUUGUGGUAUGGCCAGGCCCAUGAAUAUUUCUAUUUAGUUUUGUUUGGGCCCGAAAAAUGACGGUACUACGAUAUAAAAUGAUAAAACUUGAUAUCAUUAGCAACUGGCCUAUUAGCUCAGCUGGUUAGAGCGUCGUGCUAAUAACGCGAAGGUCGCAGGUUCGAGACCUGCAUGGGCCAUAAUUCUCUUUUGGUUUUUUUUUGUUUCGUCCCGCAUUUUUGUUGUUGUUUCCAGUCCUUUUGAUCAAGUGGAGGGGAGGUGCAUGUUCAUUUGAUGCCUGUGAGUUCGAAAAUUAGAGUUGAUGGUUUUAGUGGGUACGAGGAGAUAGGGAAAAGCAAUUGACUGGUGGUGUCGUAUUGGGGAGAUGGAAAGUUAAGCCAGAGAAAUUGGCGGGACAAGAAAAGACAUUGGUGGAGUGAGUAUUAGUUAGUGAACACUGAACAGUGAAUAGAAAAAGGCUGGAUUUUUCUUGAACACCUUCUCAUUUUGUUGAAUUUGGUAAAAACCCACCUCACCUUUUCAAUUUCCUUCUUUUGUUAUGGUGGAAUACAAAAUACCAAUACAUACACAAUCAUGUUUACUUGGCUUGGAAAUAUUUCUACAUGAUGAUGGAUUAUGACUCAAAAAUCACAAUCUCCUGUGUGUUCUUAUGAAGUUUGUUGUAUUCAAUGCAACAGCAGCUGAGCAUGCAUAAGCUCCAGCUGAGAACACAGCCGCUGACACCAGCAAAAUGGCUUUCCACUGCCUCCCAGCCACUAAAAUAGCCACUGAGAUCAGCCCAAGAGCAAUACCAGAAAGACCAAUUUUCCAGGCUUCAAAACUCUUCACAACAUCUCUGCACCCUUUGCAAUGAAUCACAUGCCUGAAAUACCGGUUGGUCCAAUUCGGAACAUGCAGGCUUCCAAUGCCUCCCUUAGCUGGUUGAGAUGCUGAAACACUAGCAACAAGUCCUGCUGGCGCAUGUUCUACCAUGGCUGGCUCAUUGGGCAAUGAUAUAGUGCUGUGCCCAACAUGAUAAGGCAUGCCAUGCCCUACUCUGUCCACCCAUUUCCUAUACUCAGCUACCCAUACAUCAGAUGAUUUCAAAUUAAGGUACAGAUUUUUUGUGGGAGAUUUUUCUUUCAAAAGUAUCUCAUUUUGAGAUGAGAGAAAUCCCAUAUCUUGCUCAAAAACUGUACAUGAAAUGUGAUGGAAGUACCAAUCUGGGAACAAUUUAGCCAAAGGGGAUUGCUUGGUGGCUCCAAACCUCAUAAUGGCCAUCGAUUUUCCCUGUCCUGUUGGUCUACAGAGGAAGAGACCAACAGAGUAGUGCUUCUCACCAUUCUUGUCUACAAGUUCCCUUGUGUUUUCAAUAACACCAGGUGCUUCAAACCUUAAGAAGUAAGGCAAGGAUUGGUCUUUUGCCUCACCCCAAUAGCCUGCAAAACCUCUAUCAGUCCUCUCAGUCACCUCGAAUCUCAGCGGCUGUGCAUUUUCUCUUUUCGCAGUAAAACCCGUCCUGUCGUGUG